rnacentral:rRNA from 1 species
CCUACGGGAUGCAGCAGUGGGGAAUAUUGCACAAUGGGGGAAACCCUGAAGCAGCCACGCCGCGUGAGUGACGGUGUACUUCGGUAUGUAAAGCUCUAUCAUCCGGGACGAAUAUGCUGCUCCCUUACUCAGAAGCGCCUGCUAACUACGUGACCGCAGCCGCGGUCAUACCUAGCGGGCACGCGUUAUCCGGAUUUACUGGGGUUAUAGGGAGCUUAGUCGGGUAGACAAGUCAGAAGUGAAAGCCCAGGUCGCAACCCUGGGACUGCCUUUGAAACUGCCGGGCUGGAGUGCCGGAGAGGUAAGCGGAAUGCCUAGUGUAGCGGUGAAAUGCGUAGAUAUUAGGAGGAACACCAGUGGCGAAGGCGGCUUACUGGACUGUAACUGACGUUGAGGCACGAAAGCGUGGGGAGCAAACAGGAUUAGAUACCCUUGUAGUC